rnacentral:rRNA from 1 species
UACGUAGGGUGCGAGCGUUAAUCGGAAUUACUGGGCGUAAAGCGUGCGCAGGCGGUUCGUUGUGUCGGCGGUGAAAGCCCCGGGCUUAACCUGGGAAUGGCCGUUGAAACUGGCGAACUGGAGUGUGGCAGAGGGGGGUGGAAUUCCCGGUGUAGCAGUGAAAUGCGUAGAGAUCGGGAGGAACAUCUGUGGCGAAGGCGGCCAUCUGGACCAGCACUGACACUGAGGCACGAAAGCGUGGGGAGCAAACAGG